GCAAAUCCAGGGCGUUAAGGUACUGGCACUGGGAGAGCUCGCCGGGGAUCGAUCCGGAGAAGUCGUUGCCCGAGAGGUCGAGGCGGACGAGGAAGGGCAGCGAUUUGCAGAGAUCCGCGGGGAUGGCGCCCGAGAAGGAGUUGCCCGAGAGAUCCAAGCCCGUGAGACUGGAGCAUUUGUCGAGACCCCGGGGGAAGGAGCCCGAGAGGCCGGCGGCGCGGAGGGAUAGGGAAUAAAUCUUGGCCUCGGAUGGGUGGAGGCACUGGACGCCCACAGCGUUGCAAAUGGAGCUGCUGGAGCUGCUGUUGGCGGACCAGGAGCUCAGGUAGCC
rnacentral:lncRNA from 1 species